rnacentral:rRNA from 1 species
GAUGAACGCUGGCGGCGUGCUUAACACAUGCAAGUCGAACGAUGAAGCCCAGCUUGCUGGGUGGAUUAGUGGCGAACGGGUGAGUAACACGUGAGUAACCUGCCCUUAACUCUGGGAUAAGCCUGGGAAACUGGGUCUAAUACCGGAUAGGAGCGUCCACCGCAUGGUGGGUGUUGGAAAGAUUUAUCGGUUUUGGAUGGACUCGCGGCCUAUCAGCUUGUUGGUGAGGUAAUGGCUCACCAAGGCGACGACGGGUAGCCGGCCUGAGAGGGUGACCGGCCACACUGGGACUGAGACACGGCCCAGACUCCUACGGGAGGCAGCAGUGGGGAAUAUUGCACAAUGGGCGGAAGCCUGAUGCAGCGACGCCGCGUGAGGGAUGACGGCCUUCGGGUUGUAAACCUCUUUCAGUAGGGAAGAAGCGAAAGUGACGGUACCUGCAGAAGAAGCACCGGCUAACUACGUG